CUCACUGCCAUACACAGGGCAAAUACCCGUAUGGAGCACGCAAUAAUGUGAGCUAUAAGAUUAGAUUUUGUCCAGCACCAGCUCGUGUGAAUUGUGGACACAGCUGAACAGUUCAUCUCCAGAAUUCCAUGGCUAAAAGAGUGUCUGGGGAGAGGGGGCGGCGCUGUAUGACUUAACACCAAGGAUCCCCCAAGGCCUAGAUGCAGAGCCCAACAACUCAGACCAAGGGAACCUUGGGAAUCGAACUCAGGAGGAAGGCCACCCCACAUCACUCCUGCCCUUUCCCUCCUCCCUGUGGGCACAUUUUCCAACUCAAAUGCUUCUUUAGCUGGUGGCUUUGCUUGGAGGUUCAGCAUGUCUAAUUUGUACCUGUUGAUUUAUCGACACUUAAAUUGAUGGCACUUGUCUUCUUGUUUCCUUGACUCAACUGAAAAAUUGAAGGUCCUUCAUGGGACUUUGAUACAGAUUCAUAUAGAGGCAGCCUCCAUUCCAUAUGCUUAGCUGCUUCCAUAAAAAAGCAUGUUUUAGGUGUAAUAAGUGAUAUAUAGGUGAGGAGAGCAAUUAUGCAGGUAGACAGACACCUGAGUGAGAUGAGUAAGCUUGAGAGAAGAACAGAGCGAAAAGCUGAAGUUAAAUCCCCCCCCCAACAAAUUAAAGGCUGAGAUCUUGAGGGGAGAGGCUGACAGCCUUGACACAGAAGAGGGUUCAUGGCUGAGGUAGACCGAGCACAGCCAAGCCAAAGAAGGAGUGAUGAGCACCUGGAAGCAUGGUAUGUAGGGAUGAGGGCAACAUGGAACAGGGCAGCAGAUGUAAGUGUGGAGAGGACCAGGUGAGGGACAGGAUGAAGUCAAUAGCUGUCAUUGGGAGGGAGAGAGAGAAUCCUUGGAAGCUCUGAUGACUCUAUGAAAAGUAGCCCAGCAGAGGAAGGAGAAAGAGGAAAGGAGCAAAGGAGAGAAAAGAACAGGGAUAGCCAAGUGCUUGAUUAGUUCAGUGUCAAGGAAUAACCAGGACAUUAGCUGGUGGGGAAAGGCGGGAUGUCUCGAUGUUAAGGUGUAAGUAAUUAAAAGAC
rnacentral:lncRNA from 1 species